rnacentral:rRNA from 1 species
ACGGAGGGUGCAAGCGUUAUCCGGAAUCAUUGGGUUUAAAGGGUCCGCAGGCGGUCUGAUAAGUCAGUGGUGAAAGCCUAUUGCUCAACAAUAGAACUGCCAUUGAUACUGUUAGACUUGAAUUAGGUCGGAGUGGGCGGAAUAUGACAUGUAGCGGUGAAAUGCUUAGAUAUGUCAUAGAACACCGAUAGCGAAGGCAGCUCACUAGCCCUAAAUUGACGCUCAUGGACGAAAGCGUGGGGAGCAAACAGGAUUAGAUACCCUGGUAGUCCACGCCGUAAACGAUGAUUACUCGUUUUCAGCGAUAUACAGUUGGAGACUAAGCGAAAGUGAUAAGUAAUCCACCUGGGGAGUACGAUCGCAAGGUUG